rnacentral:rRNA from 1 species
GUAACAUGUGGGAAUCUGCCUUGUGGUUCAGGACAACAUUGGGAAACCGAUGCUAAUACUGGAUAAGCCCUUACGGGGAAAGUUUUAAUGCCAUAGGAUGAGCCCGCAUUUGAUUAGUUAGUUGGUGAGGUAAUGGCUCACCAAGACAAUGAUCAAUAGCUGAUCUGAGAGGAUGAUCAGCCACACUGGGACUGAGACACGGCCCAGACUCCUACGGGAGGCAGCAGUGGGGAAUCUUGCACAAUGGAGGAAACUCUGAUGCAGCGAUGCCGCGUGAGUGAAGAAGGCCUUUGGGUUGUAAAGCUCUUUUGUAGGGGAAGAUAAUGACUGUACCCUAAGAAUAAGGUCCGGCUAACUUCGUGCCAGCAGCCGCGGUAAUACGAAGGGACCUAGCGUAGUUCGGAAUUACUGGGCGUAAAGCGCGCGUAGGCCGUUGAGUUAGUUAAUUGUGAAAUCCCAAAGCUUAACUUUGGAACUGCAAUUAAAACUGCUCGACUAGAGUUUGAUAGAGGAAAGCGGAAUACAUAGUGUAGAGGUGAAAUUCGUAGAUAUUAUGUAGAACACCAGUUGCGAAGGCGGCUUUCUGGAUCAACACUGACGCUGAGGCG